UGUAACCCAUGUUAAAAUCUGACAUAAAUAGUAGAAUAAAUAGUUGGUUAAAAGUCUGUAGACAGAAAAUAACGUCGCUGUUCCUUUAAGGAACCAGCGUUACAGACGCGGCGCCUGGAUGACGCUGCAGUGCACAGAGCUGAGGGAGAGAGCAGAGGAGGAAUCGGAGAGAAAGAGCGGUGAUUAAUUAACAGGAAAAGUUAAUAUUAUAGAAAAAGAAAAACACAAUUUACCUGGUCGGGAACUGACGGGGAUUUUAUGAGAACCAAGUUACAUCGGUUUUGGUCAGGUUUUUUGUCCGGUUGGAAGCUCGGUCGGAGCGAGGAUUGGUCUGCGACAUACACAUUCACAGACGGGAUUCAAGAUGGCGAGCCAGACCUAGACCUUCAAUUCAUCUUCUCCAUUGCAUCAGGGAGGGACUCUCCCGCGUGUGGUAAUCCGCUGCUGGAGCGGUAGGAAUAUCAGGGACUAGUUCGAACCGAACUGAACAGAACUGAAAACUGAUUGAAUUAUUAUCUUUUGGACUGAAUCAAACUGAGACUUUUUAUUGAACUGAGUACCUGAAUUUACAUUUAGACCUGAACUUGAAUUUAAAGUGCCAUACUUUGAUUUUCAUAUGUUAUGUCUCUGAAUGUGAUUUGAGUAAUUGUGGUCCACUUUGAUUUCAUUGUGUUUGAAGGUAUUUCCCUACCUGUAAAAAAAAGAAAAAUGAGUUAACUC